GAUGAACGCUGGCGGCGUGCUUAACACAUGCGAGUCGAACGGAAAGGCUCCUGCUUGCAGGGGUACUCGAGUGGCGAACGGGUGAGUAACACGUGGGUGAUCUGCCCUGCACUUCGGGAUAAGCCUGGGAAACUGGGUCUAAUACCGGAUAGGACCACAUUUUGGAUGGUGUGGUGGAAAGUUUUUCGGUGUGGGCUGAGCUCGCGGCCUAUCAGCUUGUUGGUGGGGUAAUGGCCUACCAAGGCGUCGACGGGUAGCCGGCCUGAGAGGGUGUACGGCCACAUUGGGACUGAGAUACGGCCCAGACUCCUACGGGAGGCAGCAGUGGGGAAUAUUGCACAAUGGGCGCAAGCCUGAUGCAGCGACGCCGCGUGGGGGAUGACGGCCUUCGGGUUGUAAACUCCUUUCGCUAGGGACGAAGCGUUUUUGUGACGGUACCUGGAGAAGAAGCACCGGCUAACUACGUG
rnacentral:rRNA from 1 species